ensembl:lncRNA
AUAAAGUUUUAUUUCAUAAGUUCUCUGCAAGGAAAACAGAAACAAACCCAACUUUCGUGUUCACCCCCAACUUUUAAUUUGUCAUCCAAUAACCUGGCUCCUCAAGUCCAAAAUCUGAGUAGUUUUACACUUGGCCAAUCAAUAAUGGCGGCUACAACAGGCUCCGCCUCCAAAACAGCCUUUCCUUCUCAUGGUUCAGUUAAAAAAAAAAAAAAAAAAAAAAAAAGCGCAGCACUACGCAAACUUUUGAUUGGUGGAUCUGUAAACUCGUAUCGUGGCCAUAGUAAACACUGGGGAUUACGCUGUAGUCCUGAAACACGUUAAAAACGCUUAACGAAUGCAGAGUAGCAUUUCGGUCGUCCUAAACAGAAACGAACGAAUGGUGGUGGAAAAAAAAAAAAAAGACCCGGCAGAAGACCAGACGCUCGGAGAGGAUCUGUGCGGCAGUUUAAGCAGAAGGCCGUCUGAAGAUUAUUUUUGGCUCAACGUUCCGGUCGUAAACAGAUUACUUACCCUCCUUCUCAUGCAGGACAUUGAAAGGCUGCAGAAGCUCGUGCUUGGCACACUCCACCACACCCAGACGUGCCUUCCCCUCAUCCUCAAAAGCCCUGACAUGGGACACACAGCAACAUCCACGGUCAAUAUUGUCACAGCAAGUAGAUUCUACGCUGAAUAUUUAAACAUUAAUGAUUUUUAAAUAAAUAAAUUUUAGUUGUACCUGAGAGUAAAGGGCAUGGUGUCGAAACGGCGUUCCACCUCGCUGAAGAACAUUCUUGAGGUCUUCAUCUUUAGUCCGUACUGCUUGCUGGGGUCACGUUUAUAAAUGGUGGUCCUCUGUCCGGAGUCUUUGGCCUUGGGCAGAAUGAACUGUUAGGACCGGCACGUUCGGGAGGGCGAGACGCGCGGGAGCGUGAAAUUCAGCCUCACCUUGCCUUCACCGGUGCUGAUCAGCACGUCCACAGCGUACACUUCAUGCACCUCAAACUCCGCUUUCUCGUGGUCUUUCCUUUAUACAUACAUACAUACAUACAUACACAUACACACACACACACACACACACACACACAUACAUAUUAUAUAUAUGUGUGUGUGUGUGUGUGUGUGUGUGUGUGUGUGUGUGUAAAAAAACCCUUUAAAUCAUACACGGCAAUGGAAGUGAACACAUGGUCCCCUCACCUCUGCUGGUCGGUGGGAUUCUGAAUGAUGGUCUUCUCCCCAUCGAUGACGUGCUGCUUCAGCUGGUGAGACAGCAUGCCUGUGAAGAGUAAAGCGUAAGUGCGUGCAGGUCGGACCGAGCGGAGGGACCGUCGCAGUGCGGGACUCACCCUCAAUAGGCGCGCAUUUGAAACUCUGGGCGAUCUUGUUCCACGCCUCUGUGACUUGUGUGUUCUGCCAGGAUCAUCGAGAAAAAGGUCAAAUGUUUCAGACUGUGCAGGGCGACUUUCUGUAUUAAGUUAAUUUAAGUGAUUGUCACAUGUGAUACACAGCAGCACAGCACACAGUGCACACAGUGAAAUGUGUCCUCUGCAUUUAACCAUCACCCUGAGUGAGCAGUGGGCGGCCAUGACAGGCGCCCGGGGAGCAGUGUGUGGGGACGGUGCUUUGCUCAGUGGCACACAGGCAGGUCGGGAUUCGAACUGGCAACCUUCUGAUUACAGUGCAGUUUCCUUAACCACUAGGCCACCACUGCCCAACAA